UACGUAGGGGGGCAAGCGUUGUCCGGAGUUACUGGGCGUAAAGCGCACGCAGGCGGUCUCUUAAGUUUGGAGUGACAGUUGGUGGCUUAACUGCCAAAGUGCUUCGAAAACUGAGAGACUUGAGGGCUUCAGAGGGACACGGAAUUCCGGGUGGAGUGGUGAAAUGCGUAGAGACCCGGAGGAACACCAGUGGCGAAGGCGGCGUCCUGGCCUGCGACUGACGCUGUGGCGCGAAAGCUAGGGGAGCGAACGGG
rnacentral:rRNA from 1 species